rnacentral:rRNA from 1 species
GACGAACCGUGCGAACGUUGUUCGGAAUCACUGGGCUUAAAGGGCGCGUAGGCGGGCCGGACGGUCCGCGGUGAAAUCCCCCGCUCAACGGGGGAACGGCCGCGGAUAUCGCCGGCCUCGAGGGGGUAGGGGCGAGCGGAACGCUGGGUGGAGCGGUGAAAUGCGUUGAUAUCCAGCGGAACUCCGGUGGCGAAGGCGGCUCGCUGGACCCCUUCUGACGCUGAGGCGCGAAAGCCAGGGGAGCGAACGGG